CCAGGGUGGAUCCUUCAAGUGAGUUGUGACAGUAGUGACUGCUCAAUCAAGUGUCUUCUCCAGUAGUAUUUCAUAUUCAACAACAUUUGCUCGAGACAAAGACAAAAAAGCCACGUCUACAACCUCAGUUGUGUUACAUUCAGGCUGCACAUAUUUCAAGGAGUCGAUGAAUGAGGUUCAUUACUGAAAAAAAUUCACGAUUGCCACAUUUGGAAGAACACGGAACGAUUAAAGGUAUAGGAUGUCAAGGAGACAUGGCUUGUGCCUGAAAAUAAGUGUUUGGUGUUAUGUACAGAAACCUGGGCUGGCCCUUCGGAAAUGAGGUGAAACAGGUCCAUGCUGAUGUGUCCUUGAGAACUGAGGGCCUAUAGGAGCGAGAGGGAGCCAUCAGGGCAGGCGAGAGCUUCUUGGAGUCACUGAUGCUGUUUACAGCUGGACAGCAGCUGGCGCUGUUACUGUGUUUGUCGCUUUGGGUUUUUGAGGUAACCCUCGGAGCUGCAUCCCUCAACCACGCAGACUCUAAGCCAAGCGGGGGUGAUGGCCCAGAGAGAAUGAAGAAAUGACCCAAGAUGUUGAUGGAGAUGCGGGUUUAUCGGUGGGAGCUUACGCACUGGGCAUCCAGGAGCGGCAGCUGAACAGAGCAUCCGCCACGGGGAUCUACGGGCAGCAACGCUGUGGAGCAUAGAACCCACUUCACAGCUGCGCUCCUGUAACUUCUCCCCUUCCUGCAUGGGCCGCGUUCCCAGGAGAGCAAAGCCUGCCCUCUGGAUAGUCUUCGUUGCAAAGGAGCCCCUCCAGGUUGCCCACCCCCAGAACCCCAGACCUCACUGAACGCUGAACAGCAUGUUCUUUUGCACACUCUGCCUGAUGGGAAUCCAGAAGGAGAAUGGGAUCCCUACCCUCUCAAGGUAGCGAUUGAAGGCGCAGUCAGGGUUUGCUUGCACAAACCAGCCUGUGGGCACAUACCACACGCCAGCCCAAGAUGAGCAAAGGGACCUUGGGAAAUGAGCGUGGGGAGGGGGCAAGCUUUCCAGAACAGAAUUUUCCGAACUGCUAAAAGUUACUGGAGUCUGAGAGGGUCAGGGAUUCCAUAGGGAAGAAAGGACAGGUAAAGUCAGAAGUAGGGUGGGAGGCAAUCAUCUCCACCACUCAGAAAAUCUUGUCUACAUUUUAUGCCUGGUAAUCACACCCCAUAUUUUUUGGAAAAUAAAAACAAAAA